CUGUACUCCCGGGCAGCUAUAGGCUGCCACAGGAUGUGCUUAAGCAAACAAAACUACUUUUCCUCAUCCCCAUCCCCCAAGCCCCGCCGCAGACCUUCGCGGACCUCGGUGGAGGACUUGGGCAACUUUGCCAGGUUGCCCUGCGCUCCCAGUUCACUGUGUGGGCACGUAGAAAACCGAGGAGAAGGCCGGGGGGCAAAUUUGCAUGUAUGCAAAUUUUUAAAAAAUCAGACCUCCUAGGUAACUUUUUUUUUCCCCCUCUGAAAUGCGGUACGGCUCAAAGCAUUGUAAUCUCUCCAACGGAGCUUUCUGUGGGAAUAGAUCGUCGGUAGAGGCUUUCCUCCCUGAUGGAAAAAAGAAAAAGAAACCAAACAAACAAAAAAAACCCUUCUUCCUCCUGACCCCCAGCCCAUCUCUUCCUCCUCCUCUUCCUAACUCUAGUUUGCAGCCUGCUGCACUUGCGAAUCCUUCUCAAAAUUCCAAAAGGAAAGAUCAGGGUGAAAGGCACUGGCACACAGACAGGGGAAUCUGCACCUUGGGAGAGGUUACAUAGCCAGAGAGCCUCGGAAAAGAGGAAACUCCUGUAGGAAUGCCCACUCUGCACGUGAGUGUGAGGUGACCUACUAAGGCCACUCUCAUUCAGACUACGUUCCUCCACCGCACACACACACACACCCCCCUUCUUAAGUAAGGGGCAAGAAAAAUGUUACUGGAGAAAGCAAAAUACAGUCCUCUGAAAUAUUCUGCAUCUGUCUAAAA